rnacentral:lncRNA from 1 species
CGCGGGACUGGGGAACUGGCAGGCUGCUGGCCGGCGCGUGGAACCACCCCCGCCACCCCCGCACCCCCAAUGUUGAACCAGAGUUCUUAACUUCCAUGUGCACGAACCCCAGGGAGUGCAGGAACACCCCCAAACUGUGCACAAAUUGAGCAUGUUUGUGCAUUCUUCAGGGGAGAGGGGCCGUGGGCUUUCCUCCGGUUUUCAGAAGUCCACGGCCCCCUAAGGUUGAGAACUCCCUCUUCAAUCAUAACUGAUGUUUUUUUAGUUGCAUACUUGGUACCAUGCAGACCCUGUCUUUAUUUACAUUUUAGAUAUUUUGUUCAUUGUGGGGUUUUGCAUUAAUUUUGAUACUUUUAAAAAUAUUUUAAAAGUAAAAAAUUAAAAUAUUAUUUUGAUUACUUAGGGGUUUGGGGCACUGCUUUGGGCAAUUUACCUCCGUUGCUGAGUUUUCUUGGCAUCUCCUGGUAUGCUGCAUCUCUGCAUGUGCCACACCCUAGUCCAGACCCUGACCCACACAGUGCUGGGGUUUAAGGGAGGCCUGCUUUUUUCUCUCCAUUUACAGAUGGGAAAGCUGACAUAAACGGGUAGGUGGUAGAGGUGGGAUUUGAACCCAGGUAACCUAACUCCAAACUUCUGCAUCUUGUCAUAAGGAUCCAAAUCUUAGGCUUUAAGGGGUUCUGUGCAGAUCCUCAGCAGCCUCCCCAGCUUCAGAUCCGGCCUCCUGAGCUCCAGUCUCUCUGAUACCUGCACCCAGGCUCAGGUGCAGGCCAGAGCUCACCUGACUCUGGUGAGCUGCUCUGCCCUACACCGGGAUUGCAGCACACAUCACAUGGCGCUGUCAUUGUCAGAUCCAUCUCUGUGUCCCCACACCCAGCCUGACACAUGGAGCCUGGGAUACAAUAGAUGCUCAAACCGUUGGAGACACGCACAGCAACUUGGGGUAGGGAAGAGAGUCUGGAUGGGAGACAUCAGACAUCACUAUGUCAUGGAGAACCCCCUGCAACUGCAUAAAGAUGGUUUAGGUGCCAGUGGCUUCCGAAUAAAACAGCAUUCUUGAAGUGAACAGCUGAUGAGGACAUGAAAUAUUAUGCCAAAGCUGGCAUCACACUGUUCUUUUUCCUGGAUGAAAAUCUCUCUGAGAAGCAUUUGCUCUUAACUUUGGUGUCCUGGGGACUGCUGCCUUAUCCCAGGAAGCCACCCAGAGUCUUGGAUGUGUGGGAUCCUUAGGACUUCAUGGUAAACCUGCUCUAGUCCCUCGGGUUAGUAAAAUGAAGCCCAGGACAUCUGAGAGCCCCCAGCACUUCCAUAGAAAUGGACCAAAAUCCCUUCUCCCAGGGGGAGAAACCUGGAAUAAGCUCAAGAGGACAGACGGCUAAAUUUUCAAGAAUCGUGUGAGCUGCUGUUAAACAAGCCAUUAUUAAAACUUUAAUUGUGUAAACUUACAAUUAGGUCAGUUAUAUUAAAAGUAAAAGUGAUACAUACCCCAAACUCAUCUCUUUCAAGUUAUUUUACUAUAUUUUACUGUUUUCUAUAGGCUUGAAGUUAUUUACAUCUACUGUAAGUGUGGGGGUGGAAAUUCAAUAUAAUGACACGCUACCAAGCACCUCUUCUCAACUUGGUGUUUAGUGACCUCACCAAGGUAGCUUCAAACAGGCUGUGAUGGGAGUAUUUACACCUCAGAAAUUAGCAAAUGCUAUUAAUUAGGGCUCUUUUCCCCCCAGAGACCCUGGUAUUAAGCAUUUAUUAGCACCUGGGCACAGUGGCUCACGCCUGUAAUCCCAGCACUUUGGGAGGCCGAGGCAGGCGGAUCACCUGAGGUCGGGAGUUUGAGACCAGCCUGACCAACAUGGAGAAACCCCGUCUCUACCAAAAAUACAAAAUUAGCCAGGCAUACUGGCGCAUGCCUGUAGUCCCAGCUACUCGGGAGGCUGAGGCCGGAGAAUCGCUUGAACCUGGGAGGCGAAGGUUGCGGUGAGUUAAGAUUGAGCCAUUGCACUCUAGCCUGGGCAACAAGAGCGAAACUCCUUCUAAAAACAUUUAUUAGCUCACACUUCCAUCUCUUACCUAGGCCAGUACUGUGGACAAUUCAGAAGCAGCUCCCUCCCUCCUUCUCCACUGGAUCUACAGUCGAAUCCCUUGAGCAUAGACCCAGAUCUUGCUCAAUUUGGGGUCAUGAUUUGGUGCCGUGGCCUCCUCAAAACUUCCUUCUUCCACAGCAUCACACAUUCCAGCUACACUCAGCUCCUUGCAGUUUCUUAAAUAAAAUACAGGUUUUCCCAUUCCUCUGGUGCUUUGCAUAUUAAUUUCCUUCUUUGGCUAGGGUAGGGGGGAUGUUUUUUCUCUCCUUUUCUAGAUUUUUAUUCUGCAAGAGUCAGAAAGUAUCUCCUCUGGGGAACCUUUCUUAAAUCCCCCACACCUGCCUCAUCCCACCCCACUGCAGGCUGCAUAUAGCAGUGUGUUGGUAAAUAUUUAACAGCCAACUUUCUGAAAAGGGAGGGAAAAAGUCCUUAUUUUUAGCAUCUGCCAAUUUCCAUGGUGUAAAGAUGCCCAUCGUGGCCAAUUUUGAGCUGACAACAUGCAGUCUUUGAGAGUAAAUUUGGGAAGAGGCGUGCCAGCUGGUCUGGGCCAAUUCCAGCACAUCACUGACUGGAUCAGAUGUCUUUUCUGUCUCACAGCAGCCACACCCCCAUACAGCCCUCAUAAUACAGUGCCAUGCCAAGCCAUGUUGGAGCCUGAAGCAAAAGGAAAAAUUAAUAACACUGAUCCUGUCUUCAUUUAAAAGUUUGAUCUCGGCUGGGCGCGGUGGCUCAUGCCUAUAAUCCCAGCACUUUGGGAGGCUGAGCGGGGUGGAUAACCUGAGGUCAGGAGUUUGAGACCAGCCUGUCCAACAUGGUGAAACCCCGUCUCUACCAAAAAUACAAAAAAUUAGCCAGAUGUGGUGGCGCGCGCAUAUAAUCCCAGCUCCUUGGGAGGCCAAGGCAGAAGAAUCGCUUGAACCUGGGAGGCGGAGGUUGCAGUGAGCCGAGAUUGCACCAUCGCACUCCAGCCUGGGGCACAAGAGUGAAACUCCGUCUCAAAAAAAAAAAAACGGUAUUAAAAUAUUAUUUAUCUUGUUUACUGAGAUUUUGGAUUUUGGCACCACACUGAAUUUGACCCUGAGGUAAGUGUCUUAUUCACCUCUUCUCAUCCUAGUCCUGACCUAAUAGCCCAUAUCACACUGUUACAAUUAAUUUCAGUAUAGCUGUCUCCCCCACCAACUUGUGAAGUUUAAGGACAGGAAUCCAUUUUUGUGUUCCUAGGACUUGGCACACAGUAGGUGCUUAGUAACUAUUGUCCAGUGAGGAAGUGGAUGAGCAGAUGGAUGAACCAAUCACCCAGUUUCUUUGCCCACAAAAUAAGACACACUGAUGAAAGUCAUCCUUGGCUAUUAACCAGGGACAGGUGUUAGUUUUUGAGUUUUAGCUCUUCCAGUUCAGCAAAGAUUACUCUGCCCCUGACCUAUGGAAGCCAGCUCCUGUGCUGGGCAUUUUGACCAGGGCUGAUCUGCAGACGCCUCCAGCCUGGGGAAACAAUGAAGGGAAAAUGAGUCUGGAAAGUGGAGACUCCACCAGGACCAGGGGUGAGAAGUCGCAGAGAGGCAGCCAUCCCUGAGCCCCCAGGCCUCAGAGCUCCUGCCUCUGGAUGAGUCCUAGGAGAUUUCCAUUUGGCAAGGGCAAUGGAAAGGAGAUCCAAGCACUAGAAACUUCAGGAUGGCUUCCAAGUGUCAAAUUUGAUGGGUCAGCUGCCGUCUGAGGAUACCAGGACUUGUUUCUGUGUGUGGUCACUGCCUCACUCUGAAGACCACCAAAAAAGAGAUUGUCUGGAGAUGUGGAAUCAUGGGCUUUGCAGACAUCUCACUGGACUCUGGUCUGCAUGGGCGUGGACGUUAAGAGGCUCUGUUUACAUAAGAUUGGCCGUGGCAUCUGUUUUUUAAGCACUUGAUAUCUGCCGGGUCUCCUGUAAAGAGCUUUGCACAUAUUAGCUCAUUGAUUACUCACAAAAUCCUCAGAUGUAGACAUUAUUCUGCUUCUUUUACAGAUGAGUAGCAGAGAAGCUGGCAACCUGCCCAAGGUCUCACAGCUGGUAACUAAUGGAACUGAAACACUAACCUAGAACCAUCUGAUUCUAGAGCCCAUGAUCUUAACCACUCUAUGCAAAGAAAAGGAAUUUCGAAGAUGGGCCCCUUUCCAGCACUAGUGCCUGUAAACACCAAAAAUAGAGGUGGGAUUUGGCAGAUGCAGUCAUUUUUGUCCUUCUCUGAGCUGGCCUUGUCCUCUGCUCUCCGAGCCUGUCCAUCACAGAAGCUCCCAGGGUCUCUCCCCCUACCACUCAUCCACUUCUCCAGCCAGUGUCCACAGGGGAGUUGAAUGUCUCUAAAGGGAAAUUCUUCCACUCAAAGACACUCAUCUCAUUUGGAGGAGUCAGGAGAGGAGAAGGAAGUGAAGAAGCAGUGAGCAUCUCUCAUCUGCCAAGCUCUAUGCACACAUUAGGGGUCCUUCUCAUCCCAGGACGAGGGGGCAGGUGUUUUUCUCAUCCUUAUAUUAAGGACUUGCAUUGUUCAAUAUAGUAGCCACUAGUCUCAUGUAGCUACUUAAAUUUCAAUUCC